rnacentral:rRNA from 1 species
CAGCAGCCGCGGGAAUACGAAGGGGGCUAGCGUUGCUCGGAAUUACUGGGCGUAAAGGGAGCGUAGGCGGACAUUUAAGUCAGGGGUGAAAUCCCAGAGCUCAACUCUGGAACUGCCUUUGAUACUGGGUGUCUUGAGUGUGAUAGAGGUAUGUGGAACUCCGAGUGUAGAGGUGAAAUUCGUAGAUAUUCGGAAGAACACCAGUGGCGAAGGCGACAUACUGGAUCAUUACUGACGCUGAGGCUCGAAAGCGUGGGGAGCAAACAGGAUUAGAUACCCGAGUAGUCCCUGUCUCUUAUAC